rnacentral:rRNA from 1 species
AGUGAACGCUGGCGGCGUGGUUCAGACAUGCAAGUCGAGCGAAGAAGCACCUUCGGGUGUGGAUUAGCGGCGAACGGGUGCGUAACACGUGAGCAACCUGCCUUGAAGUUCGGAAUAGCCCGGCGAAAGUUGGAUUAAUACCGGAUGUGGUAAUUUUCUGCAUGGAAAAGAUACUAAAGCUUGUAAUGGCGCUUCAAGAGGGGCUCGCGGCCUAUCAGCUUGUUGGUGAGGUAACGGCUCACCAAGGCUUAGACGGGUAACUGGUUUGAGAGAAUGAUCAGUCACACUGGAACUGAGAUACGGUCCAGACACCUACGGGUGGCAGCAGUUUCGAAUCAUUCACAAUGGGCGAAAGCCUGAUGGUGCAACGCCGCGUGGGGGAUGACGGCCUUCGGGUUGUAAACCCCUGUCACUAGGGAUUAAAAGUAUGGCUCAUACCCAUACCUGAAGUAACCUAGAGAGGAAGAGGUGGCUAACUCCGUGCCAGCAGCCGCGGUAAUACGGAGACCUCGAGCGUUACUCGGAUUUACUGGGCGUAAAGGGUUCGUAGGUGGACAAAUGUGUCGGGUGUGAAAUCCUGCGGCUUAACCGCAGAACUGCGCCCGAAACUGUUUGACUAGAGACUCGGAGGGGUAAGCGGAAUUCCAGGUGUAGCGGUGAAAUGCGUAGAUAUCUGGAGGAACACCAACGGCGAAGGCAGCUUACUGGACGAGAUCUGACACUGAUGGACGAAAGCGUGGGGAGCGAAAGGGAUUAGAUACCCCUGUAGUCCACGCCGUAAACGUUGUGCACUCGCUAUGAGAGGAUUCGACCCCUUUCGUGGCUUAGCUAACGCGUUAAGUGCACCGCCUGAGGACUACGACCGCAAGGUUAAAACUCAAAGGAAUUGACGGGUCCCCGCACAAGCGGUGGAGCAUGUGGCUUAAUUCGAUGCAACGCGAAGAACCUUACCAGGCCUUGACAUGUAGUGGACCGGUCCAGAAAUGGACCUUCUCUUCGGAGCCGCUUCACAGGUGCUGCAUGGCCGUCGUCAGCUCGUGUCGUGAGAUGUUCGGUUAAGUCCGUCAACGAGCGCAACCCCUGUCCUUAGUUGCCAGCAUUCAGUUGGGGACUCUAAGGAGACUAACUUGUUUUACAAGUGGGAAGGUGGGGAUGACGUCAGGUCAGUAUGGCCCUUAUGGUCUGGGCUGCACACGUGCUACAAUGCCAAGUACAAUGGGUUGCUACCUCGCGAGAGGAUGCUAAUCUCCAAAGCUUGGCCCAGUUCGGAUUGGAGUCUGCAACUCGACUCCAUGAAGUUGGAAUCGCUAGUAAUGGCGCAUCAGCUACGGCGCCGUGAAUACGUUCCCGGGGAUUGUACACACCGCCCGUCACAUCAUGAAAGUCGGUUUUGCCCGAAGUACGUGAGCUAACUCGCAAGAGAGGCAGCGUCCUACGGUGAGGCUGGUGAUUGGGAUG